UCUUAUCUGCAUGUACACCUGCAUGCCAGAAGAGGGCAUCAGAUCGCAUUAGAUAGUUAUGUGUGGUUGCUGGAAUUGAACUCAGGAGCUCUAGAAGAGCAACUGAUGCUCUUAACCGCUGAGUUAUCUCUUCAGCUCCGUGUUUUGAAGCCUUAAGCUGUUACGUUUUAGCCCUGUCUUUUGCUUUUUGUUUAAAGAUUUAUAAUCAGAGAUAGUGUGAAAAGUACCCAGAGUGCUUUUCCCUUUGACCAGUCAGUGGUGGAUCCGUGACUGGCUGCACUAGGUACAGCACUCUUCUCAGCACACUGGUCUCUUACACUAAGUGCCCUCUCUUGUCAUGUGUGUGCUUGUGGCACUGGGACAGAUGGACGGCAGCGGCAGGAACACCUUUCAGCUACCAGUCAUUGUGGAAAUAAAUAGAGCAUUUCCCACCCGAGUAGAGCUGUUGAUGCCCCCCCCCCCCCCGCACCCCUCCUCCAUACACCCACAUUGGCUUCCUCUUGUCCUUGCCUGUUAGGUUACACAGAAAAAGGAUGGAGUCACUGAAUCAGUCCGUAGCCGCUGUUCUCACAGCAUGUUGUUGUGUGUAUACUUGUAGCCCCGGGAUGCUAAAGAGCUCAGGAAUGGGGGACGUGCUUCCCCAUCCCCGCCCCGAGGCAUGUCUCACCAUUCUGCGGCUUGCAGGCUGUGUCAUGUGUAACUAUGACUGCCUGGCACAUCUAUAGGUGAACUUGUCGGGGUACAGUGUAGAGUUUGGAUCCCUGUUAGCGUGUAAUCGGCUUAGUGAAGAUGUCAGUUGAGGUAGUGGAGACGGGUGCUGAAGGAGUGCCCAGCAGCCCUUUAGAGUCAAGAAUGAAGGACACACACGCCAACCAAUUUUGACAUGCCUUGACUAGCUCAGUGGUUGGGCAUUUCUAAGCCUCCCUGUGGCUAGCACAUUUCCUUCCAGUAUUCCUGGACUAACAACCGUCUGAAUCUGUGUUAUCUUCUGGGCAACCCCCACUGCCCGCCAGGACCCCUUUCCCUUUCCUCCUAUACUGCUGAAUGGUUUUUCUUCUGCAGCUCUUGAAUCUCAUCCCUCUUUCUCUGUCCCUUGCCCUCAUGGUCUAAAAGUCCCACCCCAUCUCCUUGCCCAGCCAUGGCUCUAUGGCAAUUCCUAUCAGUCGAAGGCAGCUGGACCCCUGGGCUGGAAGAGCGGCUUUUGGGAGGCAAAUAAGACAAAGCACUAGAGACCACUCCACGGGUUGGCUGCCCACCCAACACCCCUGUCUCAACCACCCAGCCCUGUCUCAGCUCCUGAAGGUCUGUGACCUAAAUCCUAAAUUGUCACGGUAUAUAAGGAAAUUGAUAAGUCAUGGUUCCUCAUCAGGCCCCAACUAGU
rnacentral:lncRNA from 1 species